rnacentral:lncRNA from 1 species
CUAUGUAGACUGAGGAGCCUCUGACCAACUCAGCUUCUGAAAAAAAUCCAAACCUGUCCCUGCAGUUUCGGCUGUGCUGUUUCCGGAGUCAAGUAUUGAGGUUGAAGGAGGCUGAUUAGGCCUGGUCUGUGGCAGAAUGGUGCCCAAGCAGGGACCUCUGGACAGUCUGGGAUGUCUUUGGCAUCUUCAUCUGCAUACCUUCUUUUGCUGCAGGAACACUCUGCUUGGACUGUCACCCUGAAUUGGGAGGCUCCUGGCACUUUGCCCUUCUGCUUGUUGACAUCCCCUGAAGGAGGAGUUCUCAGGACACAUCAGGUGAAUUCUAGCCAUAACAUCAGGCUCCAAAGAGUUUUCUAGC